rnacentral:snRNA from 1 species
GUGCUCGCUUCGGCAGCAUAGACACCAAGAUUGGAACGGAGAAGACUGGCCUGCCAUCUGCACAAGGACGCGCAAAAUCGGGAAGCGUUCCAUAUUAAA